CUGACGGCGCAGCUGACGCUCUUGGCUGCCCGCGCCCGGCGGCGGCGGCCACAAUGGGGCUGUGUGGAGCGGCGGCGGCGGCAGGCCCGGCCCCCGGCCCCCGGCCCGGCCCGGCCCGGCCCGCGCGGAGCCCAGCGGAGCCGAGCGGAGCGGUGCAGGGAGUUGAGCCCGGGCGCUGCAGCAGGAUCCUGACAGCUGUCACAUCUGCCCGACGCUGAGGCGUGACCCGGCCUGCUCUCUCCGAAUGACAAGGGACGGUGCAGGCUCCGCUGUCCUCACUACAGCAAGUGACUGUAGCUACAAGAAGUCCCAACGCCAGUGUGAAAUAUUCUGAUUUUGAGCAAAACUAUCUUGAUCUGCACUGCAUAUUUCUUUUAGGGACUAGGAAUGGGGACAGGGGGGAGCAGCAUAUAAAGACUAAGCUUUAGACUACUUCAGAAAAAUAAUUGGGGGUAAAAUUAAUUGCCUUUUAGCAGUUUCCAACAUGUUUUAUAUUUUCAACCAUAAGUUCAGUUGUUUUUUUAUGAACUAAGACUUUUUGACAUAAGAAGUCCUAUUAAUUCCCCCCCACACACACACACAUUUACAGAAAUGUGAAUGUGCAGAAAACUAACUGUUCUUAAGGAAACAGGUCUUUGAUCCAGCCUGGCUUUCAUUGAACUGGUACCUUGUCCUACUGAAGCAGUCUAGGGUUAUUCAUAGGUGAGACUGAAUCAUCAUAAUUGCAGAAUUAUCUUCCUGUCAUGGGUCCCACUGAAUGAAGAAAGAGUUGUGCUACUAACAUCAGUAGGCAUAGGAGAAGGUGACAUGUAUAAAAUGUUUCUCACAUGUAUGAGAUAAAAGGCUUUCUUGAAAUUAUUUUAAAACUAUUGACUUGAAAGGCCUCAGAAUCCUAAGCUGCAUUUUUAUUUGUAUAUGUGACAGUAUAAUAAAAACAUAACUAAAUA